rfam:Lactobacillus amylolyticus DSM 11664 contig00027, whole genome shotgun sequence.
GGGGAUGUUUUUGGGAUUCGACAGGCGUAGACUUGCAUUGACUGCAAUUCGUAGGUUACGUCUACGUAAAAACGUUAAUUUAAAUUUAACUGCAAAAAACAGUAAUUCUUACGCAUUAGCUGCCUAAUUAGGCGCAUGUGUUGCCUUUAACCAGCUUACUCGUGGCCGGUUCUAGGUAUCAACAUUAGCGAGUUACGUUUAACUACCUCACCUGAAUAGUUAGAAAGAGUCUGAGCAGGUUAGCUAGUUCAUUCUAGCCCUGUUAUAUGGCGUUUUGAGCUAGUGAAGUUCAAGUAAUAUAACUAUGAUUGUAGAGGUCAGUGAUGAGCUGCGUCUGGACAGGGGUUCAACUCCCCUCAUCUCCUCUA